CUUAUAAAUGGUGGGGAAUGACUGUCUUUGUUAUGUUCUUUGCUUAUUCAUAAAUUAAAAAGUAGGACUUCUAUGACAUUUCAUGGGUCCCUGAGAAGGUGAAGUCUUCCCAGGCAUUUUGUGAUUGACGAUAAUAAUGAGAGAGAGCGAGAGACCAUGCCGUAACUGAUGAUACAAUCCCAUCCCUGGCCUGCAUCCUUGGGAAAUAUCAGCUCUGGGAGAUGUCAGCUUGUCACCACCAGUGGCUAUUCAGCUGGAAGUCUAUAGCAGCUUGUCUUACAGGCUGUGGAACCAUGUGACUUGCUCAUGAAAACAGAAAAGAGACGUGAGGAGCAGGCGUUUGGAUGCUACAGUGAUGAAGAUGAGGGCUUCUAGGUAUUUGGACACCAAGACCUGCCCAACAAGGUUUCACACCAUCACACAGCCAACCAGUUUUGAAAGGUAAAAGACUGCUGCCUUCAUUUUGAGUAACCAGUAGACUUGCAGUGGG
rnacentral:lncRNA from 1 species